AAAAUCCUCCCCGAAUUAAAGGAGAACCCCCCAAAACCGGGGGGGACCCCAAAACCCCCCCUUUAAUCAAUGGGAGCUUCCCGAACCCCCCCAGAUCCCCCCCAGAAUCCAUGGAAUGUUCCGGAAUCCCCCAAAUUCCGGCCUCACCUUCCCGGGAUCGGCUCCGGCUGCCCCAGGAAUUCCCGGGCUUUUGAAGGGAUCCUCGGCCAAUGGGAGGAGGCCACGCCCCCUUUGGCCACGCCCCUUCGGCCACGCCCCUUUUGGCCACGCCCCCCGUGCGAUAUCAGCGAUGAGAUCUGGGGGGGAGGGGCCGGGGGAGAGCGAGAUAAGAUCUGAGGGGGGAGGGGAGUUAAUGGGUGAACUGGGAUUGGACUGGGAGGGACUGGGAGGGACUGGGAGGGAACUGGGAUGGACUGGGAUGGACUGGGAUGGACUGGGAUGAACUGGGAGGGAACUGGGAUUGGACUGGGAUGGACUGGGAUUGGACUGGGAGGGACUGGGAUGGACUGGGAGGGAACUGGGAUGGACUGGGAUGGACUGGGAGGGAACUGGGAAGGAACUGGGAUGGACUGGGAUGGACUGGGAUUCCGUUCUCUCACCUUCAUCCACCCUACACCUGGAGAUUCCUUCAUCCUCAUCCUCAUCUUCAUCCGUCUGUUCCCAGUUCCUCAUCUUCAUCUUCAUCAUCCUCAUCUUCAUCAUCUUCCUCAUCCUCAUCUUCAUCAUCCUCUUCAUCCUCAUCUUCAUCCUCUUCAUCCUCGUCUUCAUCCGUCUGUUCCCAGUUCCUCAUCUUCAUCUUCAUCAUCCUCAUCUUCAUCAUCCUCAUCUUCAUCUUCAUCAUCUUCAUCAUCCUCUUCAUCCUCUUCAUCCUCAUCUUCAUCUGUCUGUUCCCAGUUCCUCUUCCUCUUCCUCAUCUUCAUCAUCCUCAUCUUCAUCAUCCUCUUCAUCCUCGUCUUCAUCAUCUUCAUCAUCCUCAUCUUCAUCAUCCUCAUCCUCUUCAUCCUCAUCCUCAUCCUCAUCUUCAUCCGUCUGUUCCCAGCCGUUCCCUCUUCCUCUUCAUCAUCCUCAUCCUCUUCAUCAUCCUCUUCAUCCUCAUCCUCAGCCUCAUCCUCAUCCUCUUCUUCAUUCUCAUCUUCAUCAUCCUCAUCCUCAUCUUCAUCCGUCUGUUCCCAGGUGUUCCCUCUUCCUCUUCAUCCUCUUCCUCUUCAUCAUCCUCAUCCUCUUCUUCAUCCUCAUCUUCAUCAUCCUCAUCCUCUUCUUCAUCCGUCUGUUUCCAGCCAUUCCCUCUUCCUCUUCAUCAUCCUCAUCCUCAUCUUCUUCAUCCUCAUCUUCCUCAUCUUCAUCCUCAUCUUCCUCUUCAUCAUCCUCAUCCUCAUCUUCAUCCGUCUGUUCCCAGGUGUUCCCUCUUCCUCAUCCUCCUCUUCCUCAUCCUCAUCCUCUUCAUCAUCCUUUUCAUCUUCUUCAUCAUCCUCAUCCUCAUCCUCUUCUUCAUCCUCAUCUUCAUCAUCCUCAUCCUCUUCUUCAUCCGUCUGUUCUCAGGUGUUC
rnacentral:lncRNA from 1 species